AGUAAAGGGGGUGCAGAAAAUAAAACGAAAAGGAUUUGGGCCUUGGGUGAGGCCAGGCGCGUGUGGGCCUGGAAUAGACCGGUUCAGACCGGUUCCAAGAUUGAACCGGUUCAGUCUAGCGUUAUAAAUAGGUAGGCACCGGUUUUUUUAUUCAUUUUCACUUCAAACUUCUCUCUCUUCUCUUAUUUCUAGAGAGAGAGGCUCUGCCUUCUCUCUAGAAUCCUUCAUCUUCUCCGAUGAGAAGAGAGGUGGCCGGAGGCGGUUCCGGCGCGGUGGCCGGUGAGUUUUCACGGCGGCGCCAUCGCGCCGGAGUCAAAAACUCCUCUUUUUUUGAUUUUUUUUUACCAAAAGAUUAACCUUUCCUUUCUCCUUUCUUUUUUGAAAACGUUUUUAUGAAAUGAGCUUUAACGGACCCUAGAUCUACAAAAAGGGUUACUACCUUUUUAUUGUUUUUUUUUUCUUGAUCUGGAUCUGUGUUGGUUUGGUGGUGGUGUUUCACGGUUUUGAUGGUUGUGAAUGGGGUUUGAUUUGAGUAUGAUGGUUUGGAAUUAGGAUUGUGGAUACGUGAUUCUGAUGUUGUGUGCGUGAUUGAUGCUUAGUUGAUGCGUUUGGGUUUCUGUGAAGAUUUGAAUCGAAAGAGGUUGAAUGAAAAUUGUUUUGUUGGAAAGUUGAUUAGGGCUGGAAUUUUGUUAGUUGGUAGUGUGUGUUUGCUGGAAAAUUGUUCUCUGUAUUUUUAGUUUAUUGCUAUUUUUUUGCUGUUGGGCCCCCUCCCUUUGUCUGUGUGCAGGUGGUUAUAUUUAUAGAGCUGAAUUUCUGCUGCUUGGAGAGGAACACGAUAUUUUGUUGCUUGGAGAAGAAAUUGACAGUUGUGAAUGAGCUGUUUAUUUGGAUAUUAUCGGACAAAAUUUUGAUUUAUUUUUUUGGACAUUAAAAAUAAAAUAAAAGGACUAAGAAUAAAUAAAACAAAAAUAAGAUAAAAUAAAGGUUAAAAAUGAAAUGAAUUUAAAGUUAAUAAAAGAUGGAAAUUAAAAUUAAAUGAAAAUUGAGAGAAGAGGGCCCGACUCGGAAUCAACUAUGAGGUAUUUUAAAAUACCUCCCUGCCGAAUUUUUUGCUCGAAAGGCUGAGACCGGUCGGAGUUAAAUGACACGUGUCAGUGCUGUCUUAGGUCAAAAAUUGGGAUAUGACAGAUGCCCCUAUUUAAGUUUCUUCGUCCGGAGAUUCAAAGAUGGAAUCUUUGAAUUGACAGGUCGAAGAGACUUAAAUACAGAGUACACCAUUUUUGACCUAAGAUGCUAUGAAUGCAUUCGAUGUAAUUACGAAUGCAUGUGAGGCAAUCAUGAAUGCAGGACGACAUAGAUGGCUUGACAGGAAUGAGAAACAACAAUGGGAUACCCGAAUUCGCUGAAGAAAGGGAUCCGACUCCGCUAGGGGAAUGUAGUUUCACUGGGGAAAAUACUGUCAGUUAUUGUAUUGGUUUGAAAUUGAAAUUGAAAAUUGACUAGUGACAUUAGUGGCACAACUAUGCUGGGAAUGACACUUUUGAAACUGAAAUUGAUUAGUGACAUCAGUGGCACAGCUACCGCUGGGGAUGACACUUUUUGAAUUUGAAUUUGAAAUUGAAAUUGAUUAGUGACAUGGCUAGCACGGCUUUAUGCCGGGUAUGACACUUUUGAAAUGAGUUCAAGCUGUCCUUUUGUCAGAAACUAGCCACUUGAAUUUGACAAAAAAUAGAUUCAAGCUGUCCUUUUGUCGGAAACUUGCCGCUUGAAAUUGGAUGAAAAUAGGUUCAAGCUGUCCUUUUGUAGGAAACUUGCCGCUUGAAAUUGACUGAAAAUAGAUUCAAGCUGUCCUUUUGUCAGGAACUUGCCGCUUGAAAUUGAUUGAUUCGUGACAUCUCUUGACCAGACACACUGGGGAUGACACCUUUGAUGUAAAUGAUGAUUACAAGCUGUUCAUUUGUUAGAACUUGCCACUUGACAUAAUGAUGAAACGAGGACCGAACUGAGGGGAUAUUAUUGAACAAAACUUUGUGCGAUUGAUGCAACCACGUACGAAUGAUGCGAUUCAUAUGUUGUAUAAGAAUGUAUGAAAGUGUUGAUGCAUGGAUGUAUGGGUGUAUGAAUGUAUUAACGUCCGAAAGCAUGAAUGUAUUUAUUGUAUAUGAUAGAUGGACUCGAUGAGACAAGACAAGAUUUGGUAAGGUGGAAAGUGGACUGACAUCACAGUACUAUACACUCGGCAAACUUCCUUGGAGAUGACCUCAUUGGGGACAAAGUAUCAAACAUAUGCCUUAUGGGGACGAAACCCAUUAAAAGUCUGGAAAAAGUCGCCAUUUGUAAGCUGAUACAUAAUGUUCUUCCAUUGACACACUUCCGUCGUUGUGCCCUCUUUUUUUGAAUUUUCAACAGCGUCCAAUCAUGCUUGUCUGGUGGGGUCUAAUCAUUCUUGGAGGAACGUGCUGACGCAUGCUUCUUUCACUCUCAAAUCCUAAUAUGUACUUGUGCAUUUAUGCCUUUUUAAAAGACAUGGAAAAAAGUUUUUUUUUUUAAGAGUUCUACUUCAAAAUAUUAUCAUCAAACAAUGGAAAGAACUUUAAAAAUAGAAUAAAAGGGGAAUUUCAAACAGAAGGGCCAUAGGCUCGAAUAUUAUUGAUUCGAAUGACAGCCUGCAGAUGACAUGACUUCAUGGAUUUUUUUUUACAAAAUUUGAAAAAAAUGGUAAUUUUAAAAUGGGAAGGUACAUUGAACUUCAUAACCCCAUUCCCCCUUACAACUCUUGAAUUUUGCUGCUUUUGAUGCCUCAGAUUUGGAGAUUCUUUGAUAGUAGACAUGCCCCAAGUGGAUUGUGCCUGACUGGAUGCAGUUACUUUGUCUUUUUCUUUUUAUCCUUAACUUUUGCAUAGACCGCCCUUUCGGGUUUUUAGCCUACCAGGAUAAUGAUUUCUGUUUAAUGUCUCUAAUUUUUGCUUGAGCCGCCCUUUCGGGUUUUCAGCCCACCGAGACGCUCAUUUUUGCCUAAGCCGCCCUUUUCGGGUUUUCGACUUACCGAGCUGUUCUUAUAACUUUUAGACAAAGUAUUUUUUGACUGCGUCUGUGUUCACAGGACGUGGAAGUUCUUCACCAUCCAUGGUUUGAAGAGUCAUGGCACCGCCUGAGUAAGCUUUCUUGACAACAUACGGGCCUUCAUAGUUAGGCGUCCACUUGCCCCUAGAGUCGGGUUGGAAAGUCAAGAUCUUUUUGAGCACAAGAUCACCUUCUUUGAAUUCACGGGGAUGAACUUUCUUGUCAAAAGCCUGCUUCAUCCUCUUUUGAUACAGCUGACCAUGACAAAGAGCAGACAUGCGCUUUUCUUCGAUCAGAUUCAAUUGGUCAUACCUACUUUGAACCCACUCAGCCUCUGAUAAUUCAGCCUCCAUUAAAACUCGUAUUGAAGGAAUCUCAACUUCUAUGGGAAGUAUUGCCUCCAUGCCAUAUACCAAAGAGAAAGGGGUUGCCCCUGUUGAUGUGCGUAUAGAAGUACGAUAUCCAUGUAAUGCAAAGGGAAGCAUCUCAUGCCAAUCUUUAUAAGUCACCACCAUCUUCUGGAUGAUUUUCUUUAUAUUUUUGUUUGCAGCUUCGACAGCACCAUUCAUCUGAGGUCUGUAAGGCGAAGAAUUAUGGUGUUCGAUCUUGAAAUCAUCACACAAUUCUUUCAUCAUCUUGUUGUUCAGAUUCGUCCCAUUAUCUGUAAUGAUCCGGCUAGGGACACCAUAGCGGCAAAUAAUAUGAUUCUUGAUAAACUUGACUACCACCUGCUUGGUCACAUUAGCAUAAGAUGCAGCUUCAACCCACUUGGUGAAAUAGUCAAUAGCCACUAGAAUGAAGCGGUGUCCAUUUGAAGCUUUGGGUUCAAUUCUUCCAAUCAUGUCAAUGCCCCACAUAGAGAAUGGCCACGGGGAGGAAAGGACAUUGAGUGCAGUUGGCGGUACAUGAAUCCUAUCGGCAUAGAUUUGACAUUUAUAACACUUCCUGGCAUGCUUGUAACAAUCAGCUUCCAUUGUCAUCCAGUAAUAGCCUGCUCUCAACAUCUUCUUGGCCAUUGUAUGUCCGCUAGAAUGAGUUCCGAAGGAUCCUUCGUGUAUUUCAUGCAUCAAUAAGUCUGCCUCAUGUUUGUCAACACAUCUGAGCAACACCAUGUCGAAGUUUCUUUUAUAUAAAAUGUCCCCGUUCAGGAAGAAAUUGCCAGACAAUCUUCUUAGAGUCUUCUUGUCUUUACUGGAUGCUCCAAGUGGAUACUCUUGCCUUUGAAGGAAACAUUUGAUAUCGUGGAACCAUGGCUUGUCAUCAACAACUUCUUCAGUGGCGAAUACAUGAGCGGGUCUUUCAAGACGUCUGAUAUGGAUCAGUGGCACUUCAUUCCGACGAUUUACUUGGUACAUUGAAGACAAAGUAGCCAGAGCAUCCGCCAUCUGGUUCUCAUCACGAGGAAUAUGGUGUAGCUCGACUUUGUUGAAGAAGGUCAGUAAUCGUCUUGCAUAGUCUUUGUAGGGAACCAAGCCGGGGUGACGAGUCUCCCAUUCUCCUGUGAUUUGAUUGAUUACAAGGGCUGAGUCACCAUAAAUGUCGAGGUUCUUGAUUCUCAGAUCGAUGGCUUCUUCGAUACCCAUGAUACAUGCUUCGUACUCUGCCAUGUUGUUUGUACAGUCGAACGUCAACCUGGCAGUGAAGGGGAUGUGUGCACCUUUAGGAGUAACAAUGAUUGCCCCAAUUCCGCUACCAUAAACAUUAACAGCUCCGUCGAAUAUUAGACCCCAUUUUGAUUCAGGAUCUGGACCUUCCCCGAGUAGCGGUUCGUCACAAUCUUUCAUCUUCAAAUACAUAAUCUCUUCAUCAGGAAAGUCGAACUUGAUGGGCUGAUAGUCUUCAAUUGGUUGGUGAGCCAAGUGAUCAGCAAGGAUACUGCCUUUGAUUGCUUUCCGGGAACGGUACUCAAUAUCAUAUUCGGAUAAUAACAUCUGCCACCGGGCAAUUCUUCCUGUCAAAGCGGGUUUCUCAAAGAUGUACUUGAUCGGAUCCAUCCUAGAUAUCAACCAAGUAGUAUGACUAAUCAUAUAGUGACGGAGGCGUUUGGCGGCCCAGGCUAGUGCGCAACAGGUCUUCUCGACCAUGGAAUAGCGAGAUUCACAAUCGGUAAACUUCUUGCUCAAAUAAUAAAUGGCAUGCUCCUUUCUUCCAGUUUCGUCUUGUUGUCCGAGCACACAACCCAUGGAAUCUUCUAGUACAGUCAGGUACAUGAUUAGUGGUCUUCCUUCAACUGGAGGGAUGAGAAUCGGAGGUUCUAGUAAGUACGCUUUGAUGCUAUCAAAAGCUUUCUGGCAAUCUUCUGUCCAAUCAAUCCCUUGAUCCUUGCGGAGGAGUUUGAAUAUCGGCCCACAUGUUGCAGUCAUAUAAGAAAUGAAACGGGAGAUGUAGUUCAGUCGUCCGAGAAACCCCCUUACUUGUUUUUCUGUUUGCGGAGCUGGCAUCUCUCUGAUGGCUUUGACCUUGUCUGGAUCUACUUCAAUACCUUUCUGACUAACAAUGAAGCCCAGAAGCUUUCCGGAUCUAACACCAAAAGUACACUUGUUGGGAUUCAGACGAAGUCUGUACUUUCUUAGCCGUUGGAACAUCUUUAGCAAAUACUCAACAUGUUGUUCUUCAGUGAUUGACUUGACGAUCAUGUCAUCCACAUAAACCUCAAUCUCUUUGUGUAUCAUGUUGUGAAAGAUAGUAGUCAUACCCCUUUGAUAAGUAGCCCCUGCAUUGAUCAAACCGAACGGCAUCACUCUGUAACAGAAAGUGCCCCAAGGUGUGAUGAAAGACGUCUUCUCUUUGUCUUCGGGCGCCAUCUUGAUCUGAUUGUAACCGGAGAAACCAUCCAUGAAGGAGAACACUUUGGAUUUUGCAGUGUUGUCAACCAGUACAUCAAUAUGAGGUAAUGGAAAAUCAUCUUUGGGACUAGCUUUGUUAAGGUCACGGUAAUCAACACACAUUCUGACUUUGCCAUCCUUCUUCGGAACAGACACUAUGUUGGCUAGCCAUUGAGGGUAUUUUGAUGUAACGAGGAAACCUGCAUCGAUCUGUUUUUGCACUUCCUCUUUGAUCUUGAGGGCCAUAUCAGGACGGGUUCUUCUCAAUUUCUGCUUGACCGGCGGACAUUCGGGCUUCAAAGGCAAAUGGUGUACCACAAUAUCAGUAUCCAGACCUGGCAUAUCUCGGUACGACCAAGCGAACACAUCAACAUAUUCUUUGAGAAGCUCUAUCACUCGCUUCUUGACACUUACCUCAAGUGAUGCCCCAAUCUUGACCUCCUUCUUGUCUUCUUCGGUACCCAAGUUGAUUGCUUCUAAUUCUUCCUCAUAAGGCUGAAUGGUCUUUCUUUCUUGUUCAAGUAGCCGGGAGAUUUCGUCGGGAAUCUCUUCAUUCUCUUCUUCUUCCGCCUCAUAUACAGGGAACUCAAAGUUGGGAGAGAUCAUAGGGCUAUGUUGUUCAACGGGUUCAUUGGGUUUUAAUCUGCAUAUAUGAUUGAUGAUUUAAGUAAGUGCAGAUUUUUAGAAGGUGAUUAUAUUUUCGGUUUUUUGUAUUACCAUUUUUUCUAAAAACAUAAAAGAAAGCAAGGCAAAAGGUCGGGAACAAAACGACAUUUUUAUUUGAUUGAUGAUAAAUUUUUGAAGCAAAAAACCCUAGAUAGAUUCACUUUCGCUUGGGGCGGGGCGAAAGAAUUUUCUUUAAAAAAGCAUAAAAGACGAAACAAAGUGCAUUACUUGGAUAAAUGAGCAAUAAAAGGAACGUCUACAGCAACCCAAUUGUGGCUAGACCCUCCUUGUGUCACAAAGCUUCGUGGCACUCUUUCGAGAUUAUCUUCAAUGAUUGCAUGAAUGAACCCAGAACUGUGGAAAGUACCUCUGAUCGGUUCGACAACGAUCUUAGGCUUGGACAAAUCAGCUGAUGGGCAGAAACCCAGUCCUUCUCGGCGCUUGUUCUCUGGCAGUUCUAUCAACUUUCCCCAGCUGGGAGAGCCUCCAGCUUGUAUCACUUUUUGAGCAUCUUUUAGAGAAGAGAUAGAUGCCUCACUCCUCUUUGUAUUCUCUUCCUCUAUGGCAAGUCCUUGAAAAGAUGUCCCUUCAACGCUAUCGGCUCCGAUGAAGGAGAAAGACGAUAAAUGACUUACUAAUAAAGCUUCUUCACCAUUUACCGUUACCAGCUUCCCAUUCUUCACAAACUUUAACUUCUGAUGCAAGGUAGACGUUACUGCCCCCGCUUCAUGAAUCCAGGGUCGGCCUAGUAAACAGCUGUAGGAUGCUUGGAUGUCCAUCACUUGAAAAGUAAUCUGGAAAUCCUGUGGCCCAAUUGUAAUAGGCAGAACCACCUCUCCGAGAACAUUCUUCCUUGAACCAUCAAAAACUUUCACCAUUACUCCACUUUGUCUCAAAGGUGUACCCUUGUAAGUAAGUUGAUCAUAGGUCGUUUUGGCCAUUACAUUUAACGAUGACCCGGUAUCUACCAACACAUUUGACAAAGCAUCAGUCUUGCAGUUCACAGAUAUAUGCAAUGCCAAAUUAUGGUUCCUUCCUUCCUCUGGGAGCUCUUCGUCACUGAAACUCAGAUUGUUUCAUGCAGUGAUAUUCCCCACUAUUCCAUCGAAUUGUCCCACAGUCACAUCAUGGUCUACAAAAGCUUGCUCCAAGACUUUCAUCAAAGCUCCCUUAUGAGCCUCAGAAUUCAGCAAUAAAGACAUUAUGGAUAUUUUUGACGGAGUCUGCAUCAGUUGAUCAACCACCUUGUACUCACUUUUCUUUAUCAGCUUGAGAAUCUCAUCAAAAUCAGAACAUGACUUGGUCUCGCUAGUCUGACCCACAUCUUUGAUUGCACCGGAAUCUUUAGUUCGAGUUUCUUCAGUUACCGGAGCGUCAACUUUCUUUGGAAACACUAGAGGGAUAACACGCCCAUUCCUCAAUACUCUACUAUCUUCGGCAAUAUUUUCCACAGAAGGCAAAGGUGGUAUUGGAACUUCACGACCACCUUCUAUCAUAGUGGCAUUGUACUUGUAAGGAAUUGCCUUCUCAGAAGUAUAAGGUAUUGGACCAGGCAAGCAAAUCACUAAAGGAGCAGCAACUGACUUCCGACUGUCGUAAAAUAUCUCCAAAGGCUCUUCAGGAGUUAUAACACAUACAUUGUCACAUUUUCUUUCAACAACCAGUUCUCCUUGGUUCAAAAGUCCUUGAAUAUCAUCUUUCACUUUCUGACAACCCUAGGGGUUCAGAAGGCACUCGUUGCAGCCAUCAUGAUCAUGUUUAAAGAGGUUUACUUUGCAUAACUUGGCAUGUAAUGGGACCAAAGGUGUUCGGAUUUGUUGAACGUCGAGAAUAUGGUGAGUCUCUUGGCAAUCUUCGACCAUGUUGACAGUUGCAGCACCAUGGUUUGGCAAUGGAUUGGUUUGAAUAUUUGGUGCUGAGUCUGUGAAGGUUAUCUUCUUUUCUUUGAUUAGCCUCUGGACUACAUACUUAAAGGCAUAACAACUUUCAAUAUUAUGACCUGGGGCCCCUUGAUGGAAAUCACAAGUCUGAUCAGGUCUGUACCAUGCUGGCAGCCUUUCUGGUACUGGAGGAGGAGGCCUGGUUUGAACCAAGUUAUUUCUGAGUAAUCCUGGAAGUAACUCUGCAUAGGUGACGGGGAUUGGGUCAAAUUGCAUUCUUUGUGGUCGAGUUUGCUGUUGUUGAUAGGGAUAUGGGGGAUUUUGUUGAUAGGGUUGUUGUUGGUAUGGACGUUGCUGGUAUGGUUGUUGGGGAUAUUGUUGAGGGUAUUGUGGGAAUUGAGGCUGGCUAUUUGGGGGAUGAAUAAUAUUGGCAGCAGGUGUGAUGGCAGCAAUGUGUUGAUAGGUUGGAUAAGUUUGCUGAGACCUUCCUUGGGCCACCAUAAUAACCUCAUGUUCUUUCUUUCUCGGGAUGUGGUUGCCAUAUUUCUUGGUUCAACUGGUAGAAGCUCCAUUUUUUACUAAACAUCCUUCUCGGACUCCUUCUUCCAAUUGCACACCCAUGCCAACCAUUUCAGCAAAGUUCUUGGGCGUACUUCCGACCAUCUUCUCGUAGUAGAACUGACUGAGAGUUUUUAAGAAGAGUUUGGUCAUUUCCUUCUCUUCUAUACGUGGGCUGACUUGGGCAGCAACAUCCCUCCACCGCUGAGCAUACUCUUUGAAUGUUUCUUUGACCCCCUGAGUCAUGGCCUGAAUAUCACUUCGGUCUGGAGCCAUAUCUACAUUGUAAUUGUAUUGUUCCACAAAAGCUUCACACAGAUCAUGGAAAGUUUGGAUCUUUGUUUUGUCCAGAUUCAUGUACCACUUUGAGGCUGGACUAGCCAAGCUCUCUUGGAAGUAAUAAAUAAGGACCUGAUCGUCCUUAGCAUACGCGGACAUCCUUCUUGCAUACAUUGUCAGAUGUUCCUCAGGGCAGGAGUUCCCUUUAUACUUUUCAAAAUCUGGGACCUUGAACUUAUGGGGUAUCUGGACGUUUGGCACCAAACAGAGGUCAUAAGCAGUUUUUCCAAAUCUUUCUUUUCCGCGGAGAGCUUUCAUCUCACGGUACAUCUCGUCAUACUUCUCUUGUAAAUCCUCCACUUGACCAUAGGCCUUCAUACUCCUUGAAUGGAAGAUGGGUUCUUCAUUUUGUGGAGCAGUGUGAAUCAUAGGUGUCGAGUAAGUCAUGACAACUGGGGGAGCUCUUACAGGAGGCGGAGGGACAUGAGUUGCCUGAUGAGUAGGCAUCUGAGCUUCACAAGCAAUGGGGCGGAGUAUUUCGCCAGCAGUAAAAGGCGGGAACCAAGGCACGGAGAGUUGUGGAGCAGAGUGUGUCGGAGUGUCGGCACAUAUUGUCCAUUCAGGGAUGGCAGAGGAAGAUGCUUCAGCCUGAGUAUUGGUGGGAGGUGGACGAGCUUAUGUUUGUGCAUGAAUUUGUGCUUGAGCUUGUGCUAGAGCAUGAGCCUGAGCCUGAGCCUGAGCUUGCUCUUGGGUCCGCAUAUCUGCCAUCGUCUUCAUCAUUUCAACCAUUUCGUCCAUCUUAGUCUGCAUUGCUGCCACUUCUUCACAGAGCGCCCGAUUCUCUUGCUCGAGAAAAUCCAUCUUUCUCUUAACAGUUGCACGAGUGUAAUGAGUACGAGUAGACUUGUAGUGGAUGCGUGGUGCCACCUUUGAAACGAGCUGACCUUUGAUUGGAGAAGAAAAUUUGUGUGAGACUUGGAUUUGAGACUAUGAAAUGCAAGAUGAUGCAUGAUAUGCUUAUGCAAAAAUAGACACAUUUUUUUUCGAAGGACUUAUAAAAGCUAUUUUGUAAACAUUAUAAAGAGAUAGAGGAUAAACUUAUAAAUAAAAACAAGAUAAUUCCCUUUUUACAAACUGAGCCAAGGGAUAGACUCCAAAGUUCAUAAAAGAAAGCGAAAACAGAAAAGAUAAGAACAUUUUGGGAAAUUCUUGAGCCCCUGAAGUAGACUACUCCUCGGAAUCUGAAUGCGCGUCCUUGAAAAAGUCCCAACGCUCCUUUGCGCUGAUAAAUUGUGCGAGCCUUGUGCUCUGAGCUUGGAUCUGAGCAUCUUUUUUAACUAUUUGUUGGUUUUGCUUGCGAAUCUCAUGAUCCUGUUGUUCUAUUUUACCACUCAUAGUUUCCAUCUUGAGCAUAGCUUCAUCAUACUUUCUUUUCCAAAUGGCACCUACACAGUUUGACUCAGCCAAUUCCUCUUGACACUCUCCCACGGUCUCAGGAGCCAAGGGUAAGGAUGGUGCUGGGGUAGUUGAAGAUAGGUAUCUUGGGAGGUGAUAGGGUAGGACCAGACUUGAAGCUCUAUUAAUGACCCAUUGAGUGUGAGAUCCUUGUGAAAAGUCUGAUCUCUUCGCCAAUUGGCUUCUGCUAAGUCUGCGAAUAGCACGCCAAGCCUGAACAAAUUUUCCUCUCUUGUUUGUGGGAUCUUCAUGGUUAAAGUAGAAUUCACCCUCUAAGUAGAUGCUAUCCGGUUUAGUUUCCAUUGGGCAUCCAAACUGACGUUUGGCAAGGAUAGGGUUGUAACUGAUUCCUCCUUGCAUACCGAGAAGGGGUACGUUUGAGUAUUCUCCACAACUGACAAUGAUGUUUCUGAAGUUAUGGGUGGCGUGAUACCAGGCUAUGUCAGAUGGAGUGAGGGACAUGAUUCUUUUAGACCAAGAGAGAUUUCUUGGAUUGGCUUGAAAGGAAUGGGUUUGGGGUAAAUGAGAGGUAAACCAUUUGUAUAGUAAAGGUGCACAACCGAGGAUAGCCCCACGACCUACCUGGUUCCUAUCGUGUAUGGAAUGGUACAUAUCGGCUAACAAUGUGGGGACAGGGUUCUUUGUGAGGAAGAUUUGAAUGGCAUGGAUGUCAACAUAAUUAUCAACAUUUGGGAACAGUACAAGGCCGUAAAUGAGUAAGGCUAGGAUGGAGUAAAAGGCGUUGACAUUGUUUACUUCGGCGAAAUCAGAGGCUUGCUGGUAAAGGAAUUUGGCGGGUAGGCUUGGAAGAUUUCCUUUGAUGGUGAGUUUUGUUUUUAUGAGAGAGGUUUCAAGAUGGAGAGCAUCUGCAAUAGUGGCGGCUUUUGGAAUGGGUUCAAGGCCGGUAAAUGGUACUUCGUCAAGCACUGGUAGGCCAACUAAGUAGGAGUAUUCCUCAAGGGUGGGAGCAAGUUGGUAGUCGGGGAAAGUAAAACAAUGGUAAGCAGGGUCAUAGAAUUGGACCAAGGUCUCCAAACAUCCUUUCUCAACAUUUGUCCAAAGGAUACCAAGCAGCCUCCCAUGACGAUCAUGAAAGUCUUCCGGACUAGCUACCUUAACUGCAAGAUCCCUUAAGUUCGUCAAAUCCAAUUUCUUGAAAGUAAACUUCCUAGUGUUUCUUCUCUCCAUCCCUUUGAUAUUUACAAAAAAUUAUAUAAGCUCUUCGAUAUUUUGAUGAAAAAAGUUUUAUGGAUGAAUGCAUGUAUGCAUGAUUAUGCUGUACAAAUGGUGAAAACAUGGUGAGGUUUUAGGUCCACAAUGAUGGAGUCAAAGGGUAAACACGCCAUUUGGUAAGGACUAUGGUUUCAUUUGUACCUGUAUCACGGGUUCUACCAAGUUCCCAGAGUCUUUAACCGCUUCCGAAUGUCAUCGGGUUACGGAAAUACUUCCGGUCCAACAACGUUCGUAAGAAAGUCUCGUCUGAGUGUAGUAUCGCGUAUCAACUAGACCAAGACUACUCUUGAUUAGCCACCGCACUACGUCCUAAAAGGCCAAGAUGGAUAAUGGUAACUAAAGGUCCUCAACUUCGACGGUCACUUGAAAAUACAACGCCAACACGACUACUCAUGCCAACAUAAAUUACUUCCAAGAUUCCUCCAUUGAGCGGGGUUAUACCACAUGAACCAAAACACGAGACUUGACUCUCGGAAUGGCACUUUGGUUAUACCACCAUCUUAUCUUAUGUUUCCCUCAAGCCCGGGUGUAGAACUUAUCUCACCACUCACGUUAAGGAAAAAAAGAAAGAAGAAAAGAGAACAUAUAUACCAGUAUUUCCAUCCUUUAUUUUUGUUUUUGUUUUAAGCAAGUUAGAGCGCAAAGAAUUAAAUAAAGCCAAGUUAGGCUCAACCCUCUUAAGGCUCCCCAGUGAAGUCGCCAUUUCUGUCGCGCCAUUUUUCGGACGUCAAAGGCCAUUUGAUUAGCUUUUGACUCACUUUUUAUCUCACGACUGAACAAAUUUUUUUUAAGGGGAAAAAGUUCCAAACCACCCAUUUUGAAGAGAUUUAGGGUUCGGGGGUUGGUUAUAUUUAGGGAAGGUAUUAGCACCCUAAAUAUUCGUAGUACUCUACGAGAACUGUAACACUCUAAUUUUUAUUUAAUUUUUUUUUUUAUUGUGUGGUGUCUUUUAUUUGAUUUUGGUGAUUUAUGUGGUGUAUAUAUAAUUAUUAUAUGAUUAUUUUAUUAAAUAAUUAAAAUAGGAGAAUAAUAGGAUUAAUUAGAAUUUGGGGGUUAUGAAAUAAUUAGUAUAGUUAGUAGGGAGUUAAUUGCUAAUUAAGGAGUGGGGGAGGUUACACUUUGGGAGUUAAGGAAAGAAAAACGGAGAAAACGUUUUACGUGAAAACAGUCAAGUUUUGGGAGAAAAGCUAGUGCAAGGGAGAGGAGCUUAGGAACCAUUUUCUGCUGUGUUUAUUCUGCAAUUCCAAGGUAAGGGUGAGGUUUACCGCAAUUAUAUAGAUUCUGAAUGUUGAUUUUGUUCUAACAGGUUUAUGUGAGGAUUGGGAGAAAUUAUGUUUUUGUUGAUUAAGGAGUUUUGGGUGUAGGAAUCAUGGAAUUGAGGGUAGAAAUGGGUUCUGGGUGCAUAAAACCUUUCAUUGCAUAUCUGUAAACUAAUUUGGGGAGUGAAUUGAGGAAAAAUGGGAUUUUUGGGAAAAACCUGCAUUCUGCCCGUACAGAAGUUCAUCGCUCGCCUCGCGAGUAGCCAUUGCUCGCCAUAGCGAGUGAACAACUUCAUCGCUCGCCUCGCGAGUGAUACAGCUCGCCAUGGCGAGUAGCCUUGUGAAAAUCUGGAUUUUGAAAAUGUUGUUAUAAGCCGUAUUUUGGGUAGUUUCGUGUACCUAGAUGAUUUUUAAGAGGACUAGAGCAAGUUUUAAGUUUAAAAGAUGAUUAGGGAGCUUAGAAUUGAGGUUUGAGUGAGAAAAAUGUCAUUUUUCCCAAGAGCACCAUAUUUUUGUUCGCCUCGAGUUCGCCUCCAACUCGCCAUGGCGAGUACCUGUUUUUCUGAGCUCGCCAUAGCGAGUAGAUGAGCUCGCGAGGCGAGCUGCCCAGUUUUUGGUUGGUUGAUUUCUGUUGUUGUUUGGAUGGUUUAAUUUGAUGAAUUAUUGCAUGGAUUGUAUACUGAUAUGUACUUUCUUGGAUGUUUUGGUUGGUUUUGAUGAAUGGAUGCUGACUGAAUGAAUGUUGUACUUAAUUAAAUUCCUUAACGUUGUAAGUUGGUUGGUGAAUCAUAUAUAUGUAUAUGUCUAGGUUGGUUGGUAUGUAGAUAUACUCAAUGGGGAUUAGUUGCAUAAACAUAACAGUGGGAGAGCUUCGGCUCUGGAAUGCUUAGUCGUUCAAAGUGGUGGAGUACUAGUUACUCAAAGUGGUGUAGUGGUGAGGACUUAUGUCCUGUUGAGAAUGCUUUAACCAUUCGACAGCGGUGUGGGUCACGGCCCUGAUUUUUGGUACCACAUGCAUGGGUGUUUAGAGGAGUCUUAGUGGAGUGGUGAUAAGUUGUAUAUAUUGUUGAGAGGUGUAUGAAUUAAUAUUGUGAUAAGAUGCGAAAAUGAUGUUAUGUAAAUAAUAAUAAUGUUGAUGAUUUAUGAUAGGGUGUUAGAUUCAAUUGAUGUAUUCUUUAUCUAUAUUUUGUUGUGAAUCUCACCCCUUCUGCUUGAAAAUGUUGCCCUUCCUAUGGGUAACUUGCAGGUGAUCCUGAGUAGUUGGUGGUGGCUCAAGUGUCUAGGGCUCUGAUACGUGGGAUGGGAUUUCAUUGUUUAAAUUCAUUCUAUGUAUCAAAUUUUGGUUAAUGUUGUUGUAGCCCUAUGAUUGAUGGAAUAUUUUAUGUUGAGGCUUAAUGCCAAGAUUAUUUUGGAUAAUGGAGUUUAAUUUAAAGAAUAUUCCGCUGCAGUUUAAUGAAGGAUGUUGUUAAAUAGUUUUAAUCUAUUUAAGAAUUAUAUAUUUUGUAGUGUGACAUGCCGUUUAAUGUGGAACUCUGAUUUUAUAAUUAUAAUUAAAUUGAUUUUGGGAAACGGGGUGUUACAAGAACCUUUUGAUUUUAUUUAACUUUUGGUGCUAUAACUUGCUUGCUUUUAAAGAGAUGAAAAUGGAAUUGAAUGAUGAGUUGAAAAAAGAAAAGAAAAUUGAUUUUAAUUGAAGAGAAAAAAAAAGAAAAAUAUUUUUUAGUUGAAAGUUGAAAAGAAAAAAAAAGAAAAUUGUUUUUUAAUUGAGAAGAAAAAGAAAAUUGUUUUUUAAUUGACUUGGAAGGACAAGGUCCUCUGCCUACGUACCCGUGAGGGAUCAAAACCUCGUAGUUCGGGGUAGAAAUUGACGUUUGAUUUGUUUGGUGUUUUUUUAUAUGUUUUGAAAAAGGUUUUGAAAUAAAAAGCCAAAUGGCAAGUGAGAAUUGAUUUGUGUUUUUUUAGAUUGAAGAAAAUUGACUUGAAGUUGAAUUAGAAUUGAUUUGAAAUUUGAUUAAGAAAAAUAAAAAGACGGUCACUUGAUUUAAGAUCAAGGUUUACUGUGAAAAGUUCUUUUAUGAAUUUUUGAUAUUUGAAUGUUUUUGUUGUUUUUGAAUAAAGAUAUGAAAAUUAUAUAAGCAGAAUGAGAAAAAUGAAGUUAAGCUAAAUUGUGAAAUUAUUUUAACAUGGACCAGAAUAUUCUGGAGAAUAAUUAAGUUAAACAAAAAUAAAUAAAUAUUAACAUUUAAGUUUGGACCAGAGCACUCUGGAUUAACAAAAAUAUAAUAUUAACAGUUACUUUAGGACCAGAGCACUCUGGAUUAAUUUAAUUAACAAGGACCAGAUUGUUCUGGAGAAUAACUAAAUUAAGCAAGAAUAUAAUAUUAAGUUAAUUUUGGACCAGAGCACUCUGGAUUAAUUCAAUUAUUGAGGACCAGAUUGUUCUGAAGAAUAAUUAUAAUAUUAACAGUUAACUGAGGACCAGAGCACUCUGGAUUAACAGAUAGAGUGAGAAUUAAAAUGCAUGAAAAAGAAAUUAGAAAAAUGAGAUGUUGGGGGUGUGUGAGCAGUAAAGGGGGUGCAGAAAAUAAAACGAAAAGGAUUUGGGUCUUGGGUGAGGCCAGGCGCGUGUGGGCUUGGAAUAGACCGGUUCAGACCGGUUCCAAGAUUGAACCGGUUCAGUCUAGCGUUAUAAAUAGGUAGGCACCGGUUUCUUUAUUCAUUUUCACUUCAAACUUCUCUCUCUUCUCUUAUUUCUAGAGAGAGAGGCUCUGCCUUCUCUCUAGAAUCCUUCAUCUUCUCCGAUGAGAAGAGAGGUGGCCGGAGGUGGUUCCGGCGCGGUGGCCGGUGAGUUUUCACGGCGGCGCCACCGCGCCGGAGUCAAAAACUCCUCUUUUUUUGAUUUUUUUUUACCAAAAGAUUAACCUUUCCUUUCUCCUUUCUUUUUUGAAAACGUUUUUCUGAAAUGAGCUUUAACGGACCCUAGAUCUACAAAAAGGGUUACUACCUUUUUAUUGUUUUUUUUUCUUGAUCUGGAUCUGUGUUGGUUUGGUGGUGGUGUUUCACGGUUUUGAUGUUUGUGAAUGGGGUUUGAUUUGAGUAUGAUGGUUUGGAAUUAGGAUUGUGGAUACGUGAUUCUGAUGUUGUGUGCGUGAUUGAUGCUUAGUUGAUGCGUUUGGGUUUUUGUGAAGAUUUGAAUCGAAAGAGGUUGAAUGAAAAUUGUUUUGUUGGAAAGUUGAUUAGGGCUGGAAUUUUGUUAGUUGGUAGUGUGUGUUUGCUGGAAAAUUGUUCUCUGUAUUUUUAGUUUAUUGCUAUUUUUUGCUGUUGGGGCCCCUCCCUUUGUCUGUGUGCAGGUGGUUAUAUUUAUAGAGCUGAAUUUCUGUUGCUUGGAGAGGAACA
rnacentral:lncRNA from 1 species